rnacentral:rRNA from 1 species
GCAUAUCAAUAAGCGGAGGAAAAGAAACCAACAGGGAUUGCCUUAGUAACGGCGAGUGAAGCGGCAAAAGCUCAAAUUUGAAAUCUGGCACCUUCGGUGUCCGAGUUGUAAUUUGAAGAAGGUAACUUUGGAGUUGGCUCUUGUCUAUGUUCCUUGGAACAGGACGUCACAGAGGGUGAGAAUCCCGUGCGAUGAGAUGCCCAAUUCUAUGUAAAGUGCUUUCGAAGAGUCGAGUUGUUUGGGAAUGCAGCUAUAAGUGGGUGGUAAAUUCCAUCUAAAGCUAAAUAUUGGCGAGAGACCGAUAGCGAACAAGUACAGUGAUGGAAAGAUGAAAAGAACUUUGAAAAGAGAGUGAAAAAGUACGUGAAAUUGUUGAAAGGGAAGGGCUUGAGAUCAGACUUGGUAUUUUGCGAUCCUUUCCUUCUUGGUUGGGUUCCUCGCAGCUUACUGGGCCAGCAUCGGUUUGGAUGGUAGGAUAAUGACUAAGGAAUGUGGCUCUACUUCGGUGGAGUGUUAUAGCCUUGGUUGAUACUGCCUGUCUAGACCGAGGACUGCGUCUUUGACUAGGAUGCUGGCAUAAUGAUCUUAAGCCACCCGUCUUGAAACACGGACC